GCAGCAACACAUGACCGGCAACACUGAUCUACAUCCAUUUCAUUCAGCAACAGGAUUGCCUGAUUCUGCUGUAAAUUAGUGACAGUCGUGGUACCGGAAAAACAUUUGUUCUUUUGAUUUCAUUAGAAAACGGCCAAGUGAUUCAAAGCUCGAAGUAAAUUUAAUUUAAUCGUAAAAUCGAUCCGUUCAAAUCGAUCAAUUAUUUCUUUUAAUCGAAGUACGUAGUGUGUUGUGUUGUGAGAUAACGAUUGUUGCUAGCGGAGUUUGCCAAGGAGGUAAAAAUUGAUUUUUUCGUGAAGCACCAAGUGUGCAGGUUUUCAUUUGCAGUUUGAUUGAUUUACAGGCGAAACGUUCGCGGAACAUUAUAAUUACACGAAUCAACAGCCUGUGUUGUAAGCUGUCGAAUCGUGAACUGUAAGGAAUUUGUAAAAAUUAUUGAAAUUGAUCAGGAAUUAAUUGAGGUUAUGUUUAGUUAUAGUUACAUCGCUCAUACACACACACGCACGCGCAUUGAUCUGAAUUGUUAUUUAUCGGCAAAGGAAUGCUAAACGUAAGACAAUUAAUGAAAAGCUUUGUUAACAUAGUUUAACGAUUUAUGAAAAUUUGUUACAGAAAUUUGAAGUGUUUGAUUAAAGAGUUGAAAUCAAGACGUGACGUUUCCUUUAACUCAACGACACUCACAAAUUUAAAAUCCAGCCGACAAGAAGUUGCAUUUAGCACCAAUAAGUGCCCGUUCGCAACAUUCUUCAAAUUUGUUUAUUUUGGAUCAACUUGGAUUGACACUUGGAUAAUCAACUUUUCGAAGUCAUUUGGUCGCAAUGGAUAAGCGUAAAGGAGCAAUACCAAAAGCAACCAGAUCUACAUUUACGAUUCCUCCUUUUGCUGGUCGCUCUGGCAAAACAUCAAGAAGUCCACCAACAACAAGUCAGACAGCAAACACAACAUCCGUCGCAGCUGAUGAGUCAAUGUAUCAGUGUGACGUGUGCAAUAUCACCGAUAAAGGCGACAAAGUUUGCUGUGACUCGUGUACCUUAUGGUCACACUUUGCUUGUGUCAACGUAACCAGUGAUAUUGCCAAUCAUGAGUGGUUUUGUGGGAAGUGCCAACAAAAUAAGCAAGAGCCACUCAUCGCCUUGACUAGUGAAACUGAAGUUGCUGCCCCAAGCAACACAGAAUCAACUGCAAAUCCUCCGAACGUGACAUAUGCACAAAUUCCAGCAACGGACGUAGUUAAUCCUACCUUGCCACAACCGAGUCAGACAGUGGCUAACGAGCAAAUACAAAACAUCGAAACUCCUCUAACGCCUCCAAAAAUCAACGUCGAUCCAAAUCGUGCCCGUUCUUAUAGAUCGAAGUCGUCUACAUCAUCAGCUCGCAGAAAAGAUCUAGCGCUGCAACGCCUAGAAGAAGAGCGAAAAUUGGAUCAAGAGUUGGAACGAGAGGAGAUGGAAAGACGUGCAGAAGAUCGGAAACGGCGUGAACUGAAGAACAAGCAGUUUCUGGACAAGAAGUAUUCCAUUUUGGAACAGGAUUCGGACGAUUCCUUAAGUUACGAUGGGUUCGACGACUUGUUAGGUGAAGAUCAGAACGAAAACAUCCAGCGCUGGAGACAAAACGUUCCGUUUAUGGGCAUUAAUGCUAACGAAAACCGGGAUGAUCCUUAUCCUGCGAUUGGGCAGUCAAAAAAUUUACCUGACAUGAACAGUACGAAUAUCGUUAAGGAAACGAAAGAUCAAAUUGCUAAUCCUAUGGACGAUCCAGUACCAACCAUCGAGGAUAUUGGAAGCGAUUCGGCAAUCGGCACUAGUGGCAACAGUCCCACAAAUUUGAACACUCAAAGAACACAUCCGAACAUCAACGUUCAAUCUACACAGCAGAACACCGUUACGAUACCGAAAGUAACGCAGAACGAUCCGCCCAAGUCAACGUUUCAAGUCAACACUCAACCAAAUUCGAGUAAGAACCAGUCCGUGCCUUCAAGUGCCAAUCAACCUCCGAACAGUCCAGUGCAAAAUCAAACAGUGGUUAUGAAUCAGCCACCGACUUGUACAGCAAAUUUUAUUAGUCAAGCUCAACCAGUAGCAUCGAAUAGUGUUCAGUUGACCAAUCAACAACAGUCGUUUGCGUCGAACUCUCAUUCAACAGGCGUAAUGUCAGCGCCAACUAACAACCAAAACCAAACGGUCAUUAACACCACAGAUGUGGCAUCGAAUGUUUCAAAUGCAGCUACAAAGCAAAUGAAUACAUCGAAUACGUUGACCCACCAGCCCAUAAUGUCCAGCAAUUUUCAAACUGGCACGGGAUACAUACAUCCGUUGUCAAAUCAACCACUACCAGUUGUCUAUCAGCCAUAUACAUCGAAUCCGCAUGUAACUCAUCCGGUGUACCAGCCAGUCUACUAUAAUCAACAUUUGGUUACGUCAGCGAGUACAACACAACAACCUGGAACUGCUCAGGCUGCUUCUAUGAAUAAUUCACCAGCUGGCUAUCAAUCCAACCAAAGAUUUACUUACCCUGGUGCGAUGAAUCUCCCUUACGCUCCACACUACUACACAGCAGCUGCAGCGCCAAAUUCACAAAUGAUUCAAAAUCCCGGUGGCAUCAGACAAUUAACUGCAGAACAAAUCGCUUCUCGUCAAGUCGUACCGAGAGACUUACCGACAUUUUAUGGUGAUGCAGAGGAUUGGACUAAGUUCUUCAGUGCCUAUCAAAAUUCCACUACUGUAUGUGGUUACAACAAUAGUGAAAACCUCGGUCGUUUACAGAAAGCUUUAAAAGGAGAUGCUGAGGAAGCUGUUCGCAGCCUGUUAGUACACGCUGAUGCGGUACCUGAGAUUAUUCGUACACUGUUCUCAUUGUUUGGUCGGCCUGAAAUAAUUAUCGACAAAAUGAUUACCGAUAUUCAUAAGGAACAGGCACCGAAAGAUGAUGAUUUGGCAUCAAUCCUGAAAUUUGCGAUCAAAGUGAAGAACCUAAGUCAUUCGAUUCGCAAUACUGGCGUUAUGGAACAUUUACGAAAUCCAACUUUGAUCAAUGCAAUCACUGACAAGCUUCCAGCACAAAUGCAAUUGAGGUGGGCUUAUCACAAGCAAGCUGUAGGUUAUACUGACCUUGGGGUUCUUGGAGACUGGCUGAGCCAGAUCGCCGAAGCGGCUAGUCUUGUAGUACGAAGAAGCAUCAAAACCAGUUCGAAGAAAAAAGAACAACAAAAAGAUCAGCAAAGUUCAGCUAAACCAAAUCCAAGUUCAACGAAGCCAAAUACAUACGUCAACACACAAGUCGAGAACACAUCAGAGAAAUCGAAUUACCAGUCAGCCACAAAGUUCAAAACGUGUCCUGCUUGUAACAAUAGUUCCUGCUCGAAGCUCUCUACUUGCAACAAAUUCAAGGAGAUGAAUCGUAGCGAUAAAUCGCUCGUAAUCAAAGAGAACAAAUUGUGUACUCGAUGCCUGGGUGGUCAUCACUUCUUUCGAUGUCGGUCUAAUUUGGUAUGCAAGGUCGAGGGAUGUAAAGCUAAACACCAUACAUUGCUGCACAAUCCGGAGAAACCGUCUGAGACACCAAACGUCAAUAGUAAUCAAGGAAAUGGUGAAAAAACCUCACCAGAUAAAUUCAGCACAAAUGCAAGUCACACAAACAACACCGUAUCCAGACCGAACGACCGUAUCGAUAUAUUUCGUAUAGUUCCAAUUACCGUGUUCGGCAAACAAACAUUUAUUCAUACGUUCGCAUAUCUGGACGAUGGAUCAAAUAUGACUACAAUGGAAGCUAGUCUAUCCAAUGAAUUGAAUUUAAAGGGCACGUCAGCUCCAAUUUGUGUAGAUUGGGCAUUCGGGUACACCCAUUCAGUGGAAUCAAAAACAGUUUCGGUGCGAAUCUCUGGACGUUUUAAUGGAUCCGAACAGUAUGAAUUGGAUAAUGUGCGAACAGUUAAGGAACUACAUUUGCCGACACAGUCGAUUUCACAACAGUGGCUUGAUCAGUAUAAACAUCUUCGUGGCCUUCCAAUAACUACAUACGAGUCGGUAAAACCGAGGAUGUUAAUUGGCCUACAGUAUUCCCGUUUAACUGUUUCGCUAAAAACGAUCGAAGGAAAUGUAAAGGAACCAUUGGCGUGCAAAACUCGAUUAGGUUGGGUAGUUCAAGGCCCGAGCUACGACCAAAACAACCAACUGGAACGCAAGUAUAGCAUGAACAUGUGUGAAUGCCAGUCUCAUGACAUCAAAUUGCAUCAGUUGGUAAAAGAAUAUUUCUUAAACGAAAACUUGGAUGUGAAAAUCCCGAACGCUGUGCUGGAAUCGAACGAAAUACAAAGAGCGAAGCAGAUCAUGGAAGCAACCACAUCGAAAAAAGAUGGUCGAUAUGAAACCGGACUGCUGUGGAAAUAUGAUCGAAUUGAACUUCCCGACAGUUACCCAAUGGCGUUAAAAAGACUGCAAUGUCUAGAGUCUAAAAUGUCGAAAAAUCCACAACUCGCGGACAAUCUACGAAAUCAGUUCCGGCAGUUUGUGGACAAAGGAUACAUCAGGAAAUUGACACCAGAAGAACUUGAAACGAAAAGCGAUUCACCAACUUGGUACUUACCAACAUUCCCAGCAUUCAACCCUAAGAAACCGGAGAAAGUUCGAAUUGUUUGGGAUGGCGCAGCCAAAGUGAUGAAAAUUUCUCUGAACUCCGUGCUACUAACUGGACCAGAUCAACUCAUACCGUUGCCCGAUAUACUUCGCAGAUUUCGGGAACGACUUAUAGCCAUGAUUGGUGAUAUAAAGGAAAUGUAUCACCAGAUCAAAGUAAUUAAAGCUGAUCAGAAUGCUCAACGAUUCUUAUGGAGAGAUGGUGAUUCAUCAAGGAAACCUGACGUAUAUGUAAUGCUGGUUGUAUCGUUCGGCUUAACAUGUUCACCAAGUCAAGCCCAAUUCAUAAAGAACAAAAACGCACUCGAAUUUAUCAAAGAAUUCCCGGAAGCAGUCAACACUAUCAUCAACAAUCACUACGUGGAUGACAUGCUCGACAGCGAACACACUGUUGAUGCUGCCGAAAAACGAAUAAAAGAGGUCAAAUUCAUUCAUCAAGAAGGUGGCUUCGAAAUUCGCAAUUUCAUCUCUAAUUCGAAGGAACUUCUACGAAGAAUCGGAGAGAAUACCGAAUCGGAGAACAGAAAUAUGAACAUCAGCGUCGAACUUGGUACCGAACGCGUUCUUGGCAUGUUUUGGAACAUGGAAACCGAUUGCUUUACGUUCUCAUUGAAAUUCACAAGAAUCAACGAGAAUAUUCUGUUUGGAAAACAGUGCCCAACCAAACGAGAAGUUUUACGCACCUUGAUGUCCGUGUUCGAUCCGCUUGGAUUGUUGGCUAAUUAUUUGAUUCACAUCAAAAUCCUAAUACAACACAUAUGGCGAAGCAACGUGGAUUGGGACGAAGAAGUAACUCCGUCGAUUUUCAAUAAAUGGUUGGCAUGGAUCAAAACAUUACCGAGCGUUGAAAAUAUCCAAAUUCCCAGACUAUACUCGCCAAAGUUAUCUCCAAAUGCGCCAAAUUCAAUCCAGCUACACAUCUUCGUUGAUGCAAGCGAAGAAGCCUAUGCCACAGCAAUAUAUCUUCGAAUCGAAGACGACGAUGGUAUCGAUUGUUGUUUAGUCGGUGCUAAAACCAAGGUGGCACCAAAUAAACCAACUUCAACACCUCGAUUGGAGCUACAAGGUGCGGUGCUAGGAACUCGCUUGGCAAGCAGUAUCAAGUCCAGUCAAACGUUGAAGUUCGAUAAGCAAGUUUUCUGGACCGACUCUCAAAACGUAAUGGGGUGGGUUAACUCCGAAGCUAGAAAGUACAAGCAGUUCGUGGCAUUUCGAAUAUGUGAAAUUCUGGAGUCAUCAGAUCAAAACGAAUGGCGAUGGAUUCCGUCCGAACAUAAUGUCGCUGAUGAGGCAACUAAAUCAAAAGAGAUCGCAAGAUUGGAUUCGUCAUCUCGUUGGUACAAGGCUCCAGAGUUCCUGUACGACAAAGAAGAAGAUUGGUUCAAAGACCAAGGCGAUAUCGAAUAUUUUACCGAAAACGAAGUGAGACCAAGCUUUUCAAUGGCUUGUCGUGAAAUCAUUCGACCGCAAAUCAUCGACAUUGAAAGGUUCUCUCAAUGGAAUCGGCUUGUUAGAGCUCAAGCAUAUGCUCUCAGAUUCAUUUUCAAUGUUCGCCAUUCACAACAAGAACGUCAAUUCGGGCCGCUGGUACAACAGGAAAUCCUCGAUGCCGAAAAUCACUUGUAUCGUCGUGCACAGUCAGAUUGUUUUCUAGACGAGAUAGUGGUAAUGAAGCACAAUCAAAAUAGACCGCUAAAAGAGCAAAAAGACUUCGAAAAGUCUAGUAUUCUACGCACUUAUUCACCAUACAUCGACGAAGACGGUGUUAUUCGAAUGCGUGGAAGAAGCGAUGCAGCCACCGUUUUAUCGCACGACACGAAACGUCCAAUCAUCCUUCCAAGACGUCAUCGGAUUACUCGUCUCAUUGUGGAUUAUUAUCAUCGACGUUACAAGCACAUCAACCAUUCUACUGUCCUCAAUGAAAUCCAACAGAAAUUCAUUAUACCGGCUCUUCGUGUGGUCCUGAAAAGCAUUAGAACAUCAUGCCAAAAAUGCAAAAAUUUAUCGGCAGAACCGAAGAUUCCCGAGAUGGCCGAGCUUCCUCCUGGGCGAUUAGCGGCGUAUACUUUACCAUUUACUUUCGUCGGAAUAGACUUUUUUGGCCCGAUAAGAGUUAGAAACGGAAGAAAAACGCGAAACCGUCCAGUGAUCAUGGAAAAAAGAUGGGUUCUAUUGUUCACUUGCUUAACGACACGAGCCAUUUGGAUGGAGAUCACUCAUUCACUUGAAACGAAUUCCUGCGUUAUGGCCAUCGACAACUUCAUUUCGAGGAAAGGCCAGCCGAAGAGAGUCUUCUGCGACAAUGGUACGUCGUUUCACGGUUCGGAAAAGGAGCUACGUGACGAAUUCAGUAAAAUAAACCAAAGGGACUUGGCAGAAAGAUUCACUAGUUCUGAGAUGGAAUUCAGAUUCAAUCCACCGGCUACUCCACACAUGGGUGGAGUAUGGGAACGUCUCAUUCGCACAGUCAAAUCAUGCCUUAAACAAACAAUGCUAACCAGAUGUCCUAACGACGAAAUGUUAAAAAAUCUAAUCGUGUCGGCUGAGAAUAUCGUCAAUUCAAGACCGCUGACUUACGUGGCAUUGGAAUCGGCUGAUGAAGAAGCAUUAACCCCGAACCAUAUCUUGCUUGGAUCUUCGAAUGGAAGAAAACCGUUGGGAGAGUUCCCCGACAAAGACUUAGCAAGAAACACCUACAAAGCCGUACAAAUUCUUGCGAAUAAUUUUUGGCGGCGAUUCGUCUUGGAGUACAUGCCAACACUCACCAAAAGAACAAAAUGGUUCAAGCAAAUGGAGCCGAUCAAAGUCGGUGACGUCGUGAUAGUAGUCGACGAACGGAACGAGCGUAAUACAUGGCCAAAGGGAAUCGUCGAGAAACUUAUGCCUGACAAAAGAGGAAUUGUGCGGCAAGUUAUGGUGCGAACAGCUAAAGGAAUUCGACGACGAUCUGUUGGGAAGCUAGCCGUUUUGGAUGUGAAACCGCCCAUGGAAGAUGUCAAUCAGGACUCAAUGGUGUCGAUUCACGGAGAGGGGAAUGUUGGGCAGCAACACAUGACCGGCAACACUGAUCUACAUCCAUUUCAUUCAGCAACAGGAUUGCCUGAUUCUGCUGUAAAUUAGUGACAGUCGUGGUACCGGAAAAACAUUUGUUCUUUUGAUUUCAUUAGAAAACGGCCAAGUGAUUCAAAGCUCGAAGUAAAUUUAAUUUAAUCGUAAAAUCGAUCCGUUCAAAUCGAUCAAUUAUUUCUUUUAAUCGAAGUACGUAGUGUGUUGUGUUGUGAGAUAACGAUUGUUGCUAGCGGAGUUUGCCAAGGAGGUAAAAAUUGAUUUUUUCGUGAAGCACCAAGUGUGCAGGUUUUCAUUUGCAGUUUGAUUGAUUUACAGGCGAAACGUUCGCGGAACAUUAUAAUUACACGAAUCAACAGCCUGUGUUGUAAGCUGUCGAAUCGUGAACUUUAUAGUUACAUCGCUCAUACACACACACGCACGCGCAUUGAUCUGAAUUGUUAUUUAUCGGCAAAGGAAUGCUAAACGUAAGACAAUUAAUGAAAAGCUUUGUUAACAUAGUUUAACGAUUUAUGAAAAUUUGUUACAGAAAUUUGAAGUGUUUGAUUAAAGAGUUGAAAUCAAGACGUGACGUUUCCUUUAACUCAACGACACUCACAAAUUUAAAAUCCAGCCGACAAGAAGUUGCAUUUAGCACCAAUAAGUGCCCGUU